AAUACUCAUCUUGCCUGUGACAUGUAGAGAGCCAGUAGGAGAGAUAAAGGGAGGUGGGAGAGAGAGAGAUGGCCAUCUUCAAUGCUAUCAUUUGAGUUUCUGGAUACAGCUAUCCUGAAGAUGAGGAAGCUGAAGUGCAAAGACAAGAGAAGCUUUCUGGACCAGGAAAUGGCAUGUGGGAAAGGACACACUCCUGGGAAAGUAGGUUGUGUUGAUGGACAAUGGGGAGGGGCUCCUUUGAAAGGUGUGGGGAAGUAACCUGCUCAGAUUGUUUUUAGGAGAAUGACAGCACAGUGGUGGAGGAGCCAGACUGAGAAGGAACAAAAGGCCAGCAACAAAAAUAAGGCUCCCUUCCAACUUCCAAUCACCACGUGCUCCUGUCAUCUCCCUACCCCACCCUGCAUCAGCUCCCAGGAAGGGAGCUGAAACUCAGGCCUGCUUCUGUGGGCACCAAAACCUGACUUAGUACGUGAUCCUCCCUUCCAUCCUCAUCCCCAUAGAUGGGCAUGGAGAAUUAGUCCGCAGAUCAAAGCCAAAGGGUGUUGUCUCAUGGCACUGAGGUGGGGGUAACCCUUAUGACUCCCAUAGGAAGCCCUAUGGAAGGGGACAAAAGCCCCCAAGGCUGAACCUACCCAGGAGAGCCAGGGCUCUGCUGUGACAUACUGUGGCCACACAGAGGAAGAGUCCUUGCCUUUCUGGGUUGGCUUCUGCUUUCUUGAAUGAUCUUCAUUUGCAUCCUUUCCUCUUGAAUAAUCCUCCCUUCACCAAAUCUAUCUAUCUACCUCCUGCAGCUUGUGUCCACUCCAAACACAGUUGACAAGAAGUCUUGGCAACACAGCCUAAAGAAACACUAAGCAAAUUGUUCCUUGUCGUCCUGACCUUUGUAAGCCAAGAGCUCUACUUUAUAACUUGGGAACGCACAAAUAUUUACAGUUGUAGGGAAGGGAGCCAAUGGCUGCUGGAGGGUCCUAGAAUUGGAAGGGAGCUGAGAGCUUGUCUAGCCCAGCCUCAUAUUCACUAUAGGAAUGCCCUCCACAGAGCCCUUGGCAGUGGUCACCCAGCCUCCCCUUCCUGGUCCCUGUGAUGGGAAGGAAGGUCAUCUUCCUCUGAGAAAGUGCUUUCUGUUGAUCUUAUCGUUGGAAAGUUUUUCUGACAUUGAGCCAGAACUGCCUCCCAGUAACUUUGCCCUUGGUUUUGGAUGGGUCUCUAGGGCCUCACAGCUUGGGUAUCUUCUUUCCCACGACAGCACGUUAAAGGCUAGAACUCAGCCUCCCUGUCUGCCUUCCGUUGUCUGUUCUUCCUCAGUUCCUUUGUUCUUUUCUUGGGGGCCUUCAUUCAUUGGUCCCUCAUCACUGGGGUCACCUUUCCUUGCCAUGUCCAACACAUCCUAGUUGGUCAAUGUCUGUCUUAACAUACGAUACCCCCAAAUUCAUCACAGCACUACAGUUGAAUUGCUUUCUAAGAUCUGAGCCCUGUGCCAUUAAUUCCUCAUCUCUAAAACUCAGCUUAGCUAUCCAGGCCAUGUAAGCCAGAGAAGAGGGAAGGAAUGAAGUCUUCUUGAACCCCUGCAAUGCUAGCCAAGUUCUUUCUAAACACUCAGGGCUCAGAACUGCCCCAGGAAGUAGAUACUCUCCUCUUUGUUUCACAUAUGGAGGAACCUGGUUUUCUGACAUAGAACUGAAAAUAAGGAAGUAAGCAAAACAAGUCUUUAAGGACGCUGAGCAGAGGCCAGAAAGUCACCCGGAGUCUAUUAUUUACUCUUCCUUUACAUUCAUUUCUGCCAAGAUUUUAUUUAGUAUCAGGAGAACUGAUUUUAAAUCCUGGCUCAGCCACUUUCUAGCUGUGUGACCUCAGGAAAGUUAGUGUCUAAGGUGACUAACCAAUCCCAAAUUGCCCUGGUCUGUCCUGGUUUUAAAACCGCAAAUCCCAUGUCCUAGGAGAUCACUCCAUUCUGGGCAAAUUAGCACAUGUUGGUCACCCUAUUCAGUCAAUUUUCUCUUUGUGAUAUCAGGAUAACAGUAACCCACCUCACGAGGUUGUUAUAAUUUUAACUGAGAUAAUAUAUUUGGAAGACCUGGCAAUGUGCCUGGCACAUAGCAGAUACACAAUUAAUGUUCUGUUUAAUUUGAAAGCCUAGUUAAUUAUGACAAAUUAGAAAGAAGUCAAAGACUGAGAGGUGGCCAUGAGCAGUUUAACUGGAAAACCAUUUUUAAAAACACCUAGAAACAUAAACGGAGACACAUAGUAGAGGGUCGUACCGUGAGGGUCUCAAUGUCCUCUGUACUGUGAAUAUCUCACUGGAGUUCAAUGAGCCAUGGUAAUUGUCGUCCUUGAGUGGGACUCCGCAGGACAGAGGAAUAACUAAAUCUUCUGCAUUAUACUAUGUGUGAUAAGGCAGGGUAAGGUGGGAUACAUUGUGGAGUAAGUGCCACAUGAAAUUUAAUGAAGUCUUUAGAUCUUUAAGCGUAAGUAUUCAACCCUCUAACAGGAUGGCAACCAACCAGCAUGGCAGAGGGAAGGAGGACUGAAGAGGGUCCCAGGAGAGCCUGAGUCUGCAGUCAGCUCACUGCCUAACUAUAGACAGAUUGUCCUCACAGUUCCGGUCCUGUCUCCUCAUCUGUGAAAUGGGGAAGAGAAAGUAGACAAGGUGUUGUCUAACAGAAAGGCAACAGAGUGGGGUGGUCAAGAGCACGGAUCCACCACCCACUAGCUGUGUGAGCUAGGACAAGCAAGCAAAUCCACCCUCUGCACCCUGCUCUCCUGGCCUGUAACCUCGUAGAGAUGUUGUGAAGAUUUUAUGAACUGAUGUACUUCCUGGUGCAUGUUGAGUUCUCAGUAAGGAUCAGUUCUUAAAGUUAGUAUCCCUUCUGGGUAUCGCACUCCAUGACAAAGAGUAUCAUCUCUUUCUCUCCCCUCAUCACCAAGGGUUAAUGCAACAUAAGCUUUCGCUUGAGUGUUUUGUAAGUUUCUUUUCCCUCCCCAGCCCGCCACAUCACUCAGCUGGCUCACGUUGAACUUGAGGCAGACUAAAACCUCCUGAUCUUUUUUUAUGUGAAUUGCAGUCCAGCCAGGUUGCUCUCAUCCUGUUCUUGUGCAACUGAUUUUUGGAAACUACAUUCAAGACAUUAGAUUUAUUGAUGCUACAUUUCAUCUGGUUGCUUUUGACCCAGCAUUCUUGACUGUCGAGAUCAUCUUGAACCUUAAUUCUCUCAUCCCCUCCAGCUUUGAGUCAUCUGCAAAUUUAAUGCAUAUGCUUUCCAUAUCUUCAGAUCACGGGCUUAAAAAAGCUAUUUUACAGAUAAAAAUAAAGAUAGAGAUAUAGGCCACUAGAUAGAUCAAGAGGGAUCUUGUAUGCCAGGCUGAGCAGUGGGGAUUUUAUCUUGUGGGAAGCAGGGGCUCUUGAUCCUCAAUCAGUUUUUAAGCCUUUUCUGAACAUACCCACUACAGACGCUCGUAUGUUGUCCCUGGAUCUCAGAGUGUUUUCACUGAUGACAACAAGAGUUCACCCCUCAGCCACCCUAACUGUGGCCUCUUCUAAACUACUGAACUCACCGCGAAGGUCUGAAUCCCUUCCUGUCUGUACCACAUGCAGCCCCAAGGCCCAGUCCUAUUCUCCUCCCUCUUGUUGCUUCCCAAACUGAGGCCACCCCUACUUUGGGGCCUAGCCAAAUACCUGUUAUCAAUCCAAGAAAUCAAUUCUCUCUCGUUGGUUCAGGAAGGCAUGGACCAUGAUGACUUUAUGUGCUUCCCACUCACGUUUCCAUUUUUACAGGGGACUUCAGUGUCUGAACUGGAAGGCCAGAGCUGUGGUGGAUCUGCUGGUAGCCACCUAUAGCUGUCUGGAUCUCUGCACUGCCCAGGGCACCACGGGCAUGUUAUAUCACAGCACAGUGCAACCAGCUGGUUCCUGGGCAUGACUACAAGUCGUUAUGAAAAGGCUGAGGACAAGAUGAUAGGGAAAUGUGAAAAGGAAAAUUCUAGAAGUAAUUUUCAUAUAAAUUAAUUUAAAUAACAAAAAAAACAAACAUUUAAGUUUCUCCAGGUAAUCUGGCAACUCUCUGGUACUGUGCUAACCAGGCAACCAUUGGUUAGGGAGCUUCCAAAACUCCGUGUCCACUCCAGGCCCCGCUCCAGCCAUCUGGCCAAGCACACUCAGCUUCAGGACACAAUGAGCAUAGCCAGUCCCUCUUUGAUGUCCUUGGUACCAGAACCUUCCCAUUUUACCCCACAGGACUCCCAGGAUUCCUUUCUAGGGAAGAGUUUGAUGAUGAUGAUGGUGAAGAUGGUAAAGAAGAGCAGUUACCCCUGAUUGAGUGCCUUCUGUGUGCCAGGCAUUGUGCCAGAGCCUCUAAACAAACCAUCUCUAAUCUUUUCAACCUUACGAAGCAUAUUUUUUGUGAUUCCCAUUUUAUAGAGGAGUAAACGGAGGCCCACAGAGAUUAUAGUAACUUGCCUGUGUCCACAAGAAAUAGCAGAACUGGAAUUUGAACUCUGGGUUUCUCUGAUUCCAAAGUCCACUGUAUCCACCACCCUGUUUCUGUAGCUUUCCAAAAGCUCCCACUGUUAUUUUCUCUUUUGACCCAAACAGUCUUACGGGGGUGAUAGGAAGCUGAGAUGAGCAGAACUCUGCCCGUUGCCGAGGCAAAGUGCAGUCAGUAGGCUCACAGGCUCACUGGGGUGGAACUGGACCUGGUACCAGCCUUCUGACUUGUAAUGCAAUGCAAUUUAUCCCUGUGUUGAUAUCCUGAUCGUUGGAAGGGAGCCCAAGGAUGGCUGGGUGGGGAAGCUUUUGCUUUUGGGAAGGUAGCGGUAGCAGGUGGUGUUAAAGGGAAACUGUAGUAAUUGUAUGAUGGCUAAGCAUGGAGGCUCUGGAAUUAGAAAGUACCAGGUUCCAAGGGGCUCCAGCCUCUACUACCUGUGUGAAGUUGGGUAGAUUAUAUUACCAUCGUGAGCUGCCAUUUACAAAUGGGUUAAUGAGAGCUCUUCAGUGAAAUACUGAGUUGAGAGAGAGAAUUUACACAAAGCCAUCGGCACGGUCCAGGCACAUUUCCAGUGCCUAACACACAUCGGCUCGGAUUACCAUUUCUUUUUUUUUUUUGAGGCAGAGUCCUAGUCUGUCACCCAGGCUGGAAUGCAGUGGCACGAUCUCAGCUCACUGUAACCUCCACCUCCCAGGUUCAAGCAAUUCUCCUGCCUCAGCCUCCCUAGUAGCUGGGAUUACAGGUGCCUGUCACCAUGUCCGGCUAAUUUUUGUAUUUUUAGUAAAGACAGGGUUUCACCAGGUUGUCCAGGCGGGUCUUGAACUCCUGACCUCAAGUGAUUCACCCUUCUUGGCCUCCCAAAGUGCUGGGAUUGCAGGCAUGAGCCACCGUGCCCAGCCUAUCGCUAUUUUUCUUACCUCUGUCGUUACAGCAAUCUACAUUCGUAAAUGUUUUCAUAAGUGCCCUUGACUUGCUCAUCCUACGUGGAGGCAUUAUGUCCCCAUUCUACAGACUGGGCAACUGGGCACUGAAGCUACCUGCCCAAGGUGAUCCAGGAAGGACUGAGCAGAGCUAAGCCUUGAGCUCCUGACCCCACGGUGAGCUCCCAUCCCCAGCAUGCUGCAGCUGUUCAUCUUUCCUGGGUCCAGUUUCACAUUUCCAGCAUUUCUCAAAUGUUAAUAUGUGUCUCCAUUACCGGAGAUCUUGUUCACAUGCAGGUUCUCAUUAAGGAGGGCUAGGCGGGCCUGAGGCUCUGCAUUUCUGGCAGUCCUCCGAGGGAAGUCAAAGCCGCUGGUCAUGGGGCCUCACUGUGGUUGAGGGUCUCCUUCAGCUGGUAGGGGUCCCUUGAGCAGGCUCAGAGAAACAAACGGCAAGCCCUGCGGCCCCUGGGACUGGGACCUGCAGGAGCCCUUAAAGUUAGCUUCUAAGUGUGGCCCCCAUAGGAUGAUACUAAGGAGAUAUGGGAUUUGGGAGCCACCUCCUAGCAGGGUUGCCAGGGCCGGCCCUGCCCUCUUGCUCACCAUCUCCUUCUGCUUCCUUCUGACUGCUUCCAUGGGAGCCUGACAACUACAGCAAAGCAUUCUUGAACUCCCACGCUGAGCAGGAGCUACAUGACCGGGUGAGUGUGGGCAGCCUGCAGAGAAGGAGCUGACAUUUGUCUUAAUUGGAGUUACCAUGUAAAUCCCACCUGUCUCCUCCUGGUGCCCAUGGCCUUUGAUGGGCAGGGAAGGGGGCUCUGAACAGAGAGAGGCUCAUAAUGUCCCUGGGGAUACAAGGCGUUAUUAAUGUAGGCUCUGGAAGGAGAUGUUCCCACUUGUCAGCAGGGAAAAUGAGCUGGAAUUGAGUUUAAAAAAAAAAAAGAGAGAGAGAGAAAGAAAGAAAAAGAACACAGGCAUCUAGGCAAGAAGAGUGGCAGAACUCCCCCCAGGGCAGAUACCCUUCUGCCCCUCCCAUGGGUCACCCCUGUCUUUCAAAACCAGCCUCUAACCCAGAGGUUUUCAAACUCAGCUACCAAUCGUCACCUGGGAGCUGUAACAAUUGCUGAUGUCUCUGCCCCAGCCCCAGAUAUCUUUAUUUCAUUGGCCUGGGGUGUGGCCUAUGGAAAUUGGGGUUUUUAAGCUCCCAAGUGAUUCUAUGUGCAGUGGGGUUGCAAAACUGCAGGUUGAAUCUUAGCUUCUCCAGGAAGCCACCUCUGAUUAGCUGAUGCUAAUCUAUGAGCCCAGUGGAACUGUCACCUUUUCUAAUCAGCCAGCCCUGAUGUAUCCAUACAAUUGGAGGGGGAUGGGGUGAAAUAACCCCCAUUAGUGUGAAUUGGUUGAAGAGGACACAGAAGGAUGUAGGAUGUACCUUCUCAUUUCUCUGAGCUUAACUUCCAAAUGAACAAGCAUUUGCAGCUGCUGGACAGCCACAAAAUCAAUUCACUCAGUCAUUUAACCAACAUUCAUUGAGCACCUAUUAUGGAUAAAGAGCAAUGAGAGAUUCACAGCAUAUUUGAUAUAGUCUCUGUAAACCAAAAAUAAAAUUCUAAGUCCCCUAAAUGACGGAAUGGAGCCCCCCUCUUCACCAAGGAGACCCCAAAGAAACUUGAAAAACUAAUUUUGGGAAUGACAGGAAGCAGGGAUUGGACAUACCUCAUUGUAGCCCCCUCUUUUUGGAGUUUAGAUUCAGCUGACCAGCAUUAACAUGAAAACAGAAAUCUGAAGGCUGACAAAACAGACUCUUCAUAGCAAUGAGAUACUAAAUUCCAACCUGACUCUGGUCCCAUGACAAAUAGCAGGCCUUGAAGGAGAUAAAAGUAUUUUACCCCAAAAUAUAUUUCUUUGGCAUAUUUUGAAAUGGCCCCGCAAAGCUCUCUCUUGGGGAAAUUUGCAUUCUGUAGAAAAUCUCCUUCCCUCACUAGCUCUUUCAGGAGAGACUGACACCUGAUAACAGACAUUCACCAUCUUUUCUCUCUGAAUCCUGGAGGCUUCAUCUACAUGACAAGAACCUUGGCUUCACAAUCCUGCCUUAUCUAAACUCAAGGUCUCUUUAUGCUGAAUUCAACUCUUCAGGCAAGGCCUAACUCUCUCAGCCAAUUGCCAAUCAAGAAAUCUUUGAAACCGCCUAUGACCUGGAAGCCUACACUCACCCUACUUCGAGAUAUCCCACCUUUCUGGGCCAAUCAAUAUAUACCUUAUAUGUAUUGGUUUAUUUCUUUGCCUGUAACUUCUUCCGUCUCCUUAAAAUGUAUAAAACCAAGACGUGUUCUCAGGACCUCCUGAAAAUGUAUCAUGAGCCAUGGUCCUUAACCUUGGCAAAAUAAACCUCUCGAUUGAGACCUGUCUCAGAUACUUUCUGGUUUACAAUUCUGCACUUAACUAACUAAAGCCUAAUAAGGAUAGAAUAGGCAAGACCAUAAAUAACAACAACAAUUACAAAACCUGUAGGUGAUAGGCUGUGAGUUAGGGAAAUAAAGAGAUAAUGAAAAUGUAUCUCACACCUAGGAUGUGCAAGGCCAUUUCCGAGUCAACCUAUAUAUGCUACGUCAUUUCAUGUCAGUGACAGAGUCCCAUUUUUCAGAUAAAGGAGUUGAGACUCAGAGGAGCCAGUGGCUUGCUCAUGGUCACACAGCUGGUGCAUGUUGAAGCCUGACUCCAAAGGAGGCGUGAGAGCAUGCUGCCAUGGCAAGAUGAGGAAGGGAUGAGUUCAGUUGCAGGAAUCUGGAGAAACUUCAGGAGGACUCAGGGCUCACUACAAAAACAUGCCACCACCAAGGGGCCUCUCAUAGGAGGGCCCUGUAAGAGGACAUAGCCUCAGGGAAGAAGCAUGUUCCUGGUAAGGCUGAUAGUGGAAGGACAGCUCAGACGAACAGGGAGAGGAGUUGCUGAUUCUGAAGCAGGGAGUCUGGAAGACCAGGGAAGGGUUGGCAGGGAAGGUGUAGGAGGUGGGCUUUUAGAGGGCAUAGAAGUUCAGAGCAGGCAGGGGAGAGAUAGCAGAAGGGGGCAUAUACACCUUCAGUACUGACCAAUUCACACAGCGAUGAGAAGCAUGAGAGCCUGGCCACUGUGAGAAGGGCAGGCCCUGGCUCAGCAUACUUGGCUGAAGUGAAGAGGGCAGACUGCAGUCUGCAGACACAGGCCCUGGGUGAGGGUUGGUGCACAAACCACUCAAGAGAAACUUUGGGCAGGCUGGAUGAGCUGGGCUGCAGGGCAGGGACUCUGUUUUUGACACUGAUAUCUAUCAUCAGUUGGAUGUAAUAUUCAUAGUUUCUGAAUACCCAGCAUGGGGCAGGCAUGGGCCCAGGUGGUUUCUCUCUGACCUGGAAGAGAGACAAGUUUCUGUGAAGUUGAGAGAAUGUAAAUAAUCUCUAUUAGGAUGGUGGUAGUGGUGGCAGCAGUGGUGCUGGAGGUGGUGGGAAUAGCGGUGGUGGGGUGGGGUUGGUGGUGGUGAUGGUAUUAAUGGCAGAUGGUGGUGGAGGUAAGGGUGAUGGUGGUGGUAGUGGUCAUGAUGAGGGUGGUGGGGUGGUGAUGACGAUGGUGAUGAUGAUGGUGAUGGUAGUGAUCGUGAUAGUGGUAGUAGUUAUGCUUGAAUGACUGACACCAAAAUGGCUGCUACCUCUAGCCUCUCCCGUGAUUCAUACUUUCACCUCCCCCGUUGUCAUCUCCUGUUGUAUCAUGUAGGCCUAUCAGUCUUCUACACGCCUGCACUCAAGCCGUUGACCUCCUCUCUUUUCUCUUUGCCCUUCCUUUACUUUCAUCUGUAUUCCCUGGCUUGGGAAACAGCCCCUCUAGUCAGCCAGCCAGCCAGCCAACCAUCAGAGCUGAUGCCCAAGAGUCAAGCUACAUCCUCCAACUAUUCUUAUCCCCAACAGCCAGUUAAUUACCAAGUCCUGAUGCUUUGACCUCUUACUCACUUCUUGAGACCCAUAGUCUUCUCUCUGUCUUACCUGUUCUUGCUUUAUUUGGGACCACAUUACUUCCCCCCGACUAUGGGAAUACCAUCCUGACAGAACUGUGAGAUUCGACUGGCCUUUCUCCAGACCACCCUUCAUCUCAUCAUCAGAGGCAACCUACCCACAGGCAGAUCUGGCCAUGCCAUACCGAUGUCACACCCCAUCUCUGACUUGCAAGUGCAAGGUGGUCCCUAGGCUGCCAAGCUCCAGACCCAUGAAGCUGCAGCACUCUGCUCUAGCAUGACAGAUGCACAUAUCUUUUCUUUUGCUCAUACGAGUCUCUGUCUUGAAAACUUUUCUCCUCCUCUGACUGAUGGACUCCUGUCCGAUUCUUAUGAAGCUCUUCUGCUCCCCUACCCCAGCUGGCAGCAGUGGUGUCUCUCUCUUCUGUGCACUCUAUGCAAUUUCCGGUCUUGCUUAUUUCACUCUGUUUAUUCAUCUGCCUCCUUUGCUAUGCCAUGAACUUCACCAAGAAAAGGGAAAAGGGAGGUCUUGCCCAUCUCUGAAUCUUGAAGACUUAGCACAGGUGCAUACUUGGCACUUCCUGGAUUCAAGACCAGUAAUAUUAAUCCAGAUAACUGUGUGGUACCUGAAAUUAUGCAGAGAGCUGUAUCUCCACAUCAUCUCAUUUGAUUCUCAUCACUCUCAUGGAAAGUUGCAGGGGGCAUUUGCUUUGUUUCACUGAUGGGAACACUGACAUCCAGCAACAAAGGCAAAAUGACUUGCUCAAGGUUGCCCAGGGAGGUUGUGGCUGAGUCAGUCUUUGUCUCAGAUGUCCUGACUCUGUUGUUGGAAACGUGUUGAUUUCACACCAGAAGCUCAUUUUCUUUCUCUCUGAGAUGCUCUAUGGCUGAGAAGUGACCCAUGCACAUAGGGCCUGCCCACUCUCAGCAUGAAAUACCUGUGAUUGAGGAGGGAACAGGGGCUUUGAAUUCCUAGGUAAGGACAGAUAAGGAAGACAAGCAUCUAGAAGGCACAAAGCCAUAAGGAUGGAGAGAACUAGAGAAGAGAUAAGAGUCUUAUCACAAAAUUUUGGAACCUGGAAAGCAGGUAGACAAGUGGUAACAAACUUAGCAGGAGAAAUAAGGAUUCUUGAGCUGGCAUUGGGAAAAGCUGAGAACCAACUUGAUUUACACAGCAGAACCCUUAGAAGCCUCAGGAGCUGGCAGCGUCAGGUACUUCUGGAAGUGAGUGAAGGGAUGGGCCAAAAAUAAGGAUUUGUAAGUGAAAGCAAUUCAUUCAGAGGCUUUAGAACCCCAGAUCCCUGCCUCCACUGCAUACUGCUAGGCAACCACCCAGUCCGUACCAUGGCCAAAGCCUGGAGAUAAAGUGAAGUCUCUGCUCGGAGAUGAGGGGCAUGAGGCUCAGCUGAAAACAGGACGAGUAAGAGAACGUUUUCAUAGUUAAUGCUGAGGUCCCCUAGCCAUCUUCUCUCAUAAUCUCCCAGUAGGCUGCAUCUGGUUUUAUACCCUCUAGGAAAGACACUAGAAACCUCUUUUCUGGGGGGAACGGGCCCAGGAAGGAAGAGACACGAGGGUUCAAAAUUACACUCCUGCACAUCUUUUGUCGGGAAAACUCCUGAAGAACAUAGA
rnacentral:lncRNA from 1 species